UACGUAGGUCCCGAGCGUUGUCCGGAUUUAUUGGGCGUAAAGCGAGCGCAGGUGGUUUAUUAAGUCUGGUGUAAAAGGCAGUGGCUCAACCAUUGUAUGCAUUGGAAACUGGUAGACUUGAGUGCAGGAGAGGAGAGUGGAAUUCCAUGUGUAGCGGUAAAAUGCGUAGAUAUAUGGAGGAACACCGGUGGCGAAAGCGGCUCUCUGGCCUGUAACUGACACUGAGGCUCGAAAGCGUGGGGAGCAAACAGG
rnacentral:rRNA from 1 species